rnacentral:rRNA from 1 species
AAAAUAGAUACCCCCUGGUAGUCCACGCCCUAAAACCGAUGCGAACUGGAUGUUAGGGUACAUUACGGUACUCAGUGUCGAAGCUAACGCGUUAAGUUCGCCGCCUGGGGAGUACGGUCGCAAGACUGAAACUCAAAGGAAUUGACGGGGGCCCGCACAAGCGGUGGAGUAUGUGGUUUAAUUCGAUGCAACGCGAAGAACCUUACCUGGCCUUGACAUCUGUCGAAUCCUGCAGAGAUGCGGGUAGUGCCGCAAGGAACGACAAGACAGGUGCUGCANUGGCUGUCGUCAGCUCGUGUACGUAGAGUAGUUAGUUCGGGUUAAGUACCCGGCAACGAGACCGUNAACCCCUUUAGUUCCUUACGUUAGCCAGUACUACGUAAGUACGGUUCGGAAACGUACUAAACGGUAGGACCGUGACCGGUACGGUAACGAAACCGGUAGGAAGGUGGGGUACGUNAACCGUUACGAACGUUCCUACAGUCGGUACCCGUUACGGGACCGUAGCCUUACGACACGUACCUACAAUGGUCGGUACAGAGGGGUUUGCGAAGCCGCGAGGUGGAGCCAAUCCCAGAAAGCCGAUCCCAGUCCGGAUUGG